GGUAGUGCAGUUCAGUGGUAAAGCACUUGCCUAGCAUGCAUGAGACCCUGGAUUCUAUCUCCAGCACUGCAC
rnacentral:tRNA from 1 species